GUUUGUUUGGAGCUAUAAAAAAUUUAACCUGCCCCCUGAUUAAUUAUUUAAAGGGCCGCAGUAUUAUAACUGUGCAAAGGUAGCAUAAUCAUUAGGUUUUUAAUUGAAAUCUCGUAUGAAUGGUUGGACAAAAGAAGAACUCUCUUUAUGUUAAGUUUUGAAUUUAACUUUUAAGUGAAAAGGCUUAAAUAUUCUAAAGGGACGAUAAGACCCUAUAAAACUUUACAUUAUUAUUAAUUUUGAUUGAAUUUAUGAAAUAAGAAUUUUAUUUGAUUAUUUGUUAUGUUGGGGAGACAUAAGUAAAAAUUUUUUAACUGCUUUGACAAUUAUACAAUUAUUAGUGAAUAAGUAAAAGAUCCUUUUUUAAGAUUAGUAGAUUAAGUUACUUUAGGGAUAACAGUGUAAUUUCUUUUGAGAGUUCUUAUCGAAAAAGAAGAUUGCGACCUCGAUGUUGAAUUAAAAUAUCUAUAUAGUGGAGAAAUUAUAUGAGAAGGUCUGUUCGACCUGAAAAUUUUACAUGAUUUGAGUUCAAACCGGUGUAAG
rnacentral:rRNA from 1 species